AUCCAUGGCUAGCCGAGCAUUAAAGGGUUUUAAUGCUUUAUUAAAAAGCAAUACUAAAUAUACAAGAGAAAAUAAGACAGGUCUCUUAAAAUGAGUAAAAUAACUAAUUUGUUUCCUUUUUAGAACAAUUAAAGUUUUUAUUGCUGAAAUCGCACACAUUAAUAUCUGUGAAAACUAAACCCAUUUAGUACAUUCCAUUGCCAUAUUAAAUUCAAAAUGCAAUAUAAUACAAACAUAUAAAUAAGAAACAUGAAUAAAAAUAGAAAGAAUAAUCUCAAAGGUAAACAACUAACUUCAGCUUUUCAUGAUGCAUUUAGUUUAUAUAAAUUAGUUUUAGUUUCUUUUUUUACUAUUAAAUAGUAAUAUAUAGCAUAUGACUUUUAAUUUGGCAGGUUGUCAGAAGACGCUUAUUUUUUAGUAUGUCUGUUUCUUCACUCAAACAAUAACAUGUUCGUGAAAUAAACUCUCAGAGCAACUCAGGAGGUGAAGUUCAUGUCCUCAUUCAGCGCAGACGCAGACAAAUUCAUGAGCAUCACACGUGUAGCACGUUAAACUGUGCAGUUCAUUCACUCGGACACGCAGAACAGACAGAUGGCAUGUGUAAAUAACAGGAUUUGGCAUCCACUAGUCCACAUCUAGUUUUAUGGACUCAAUGCAGCCGGAAAACAAGUUUCACUCGCAAAAUAGACUAAAACUAAGUAAAAUAGCAGUUCACCAUUUCAAUAAGCUAUCACUUAUUUAUCAGCAUGAGAAAUACGUGUGAGCGUGUGAACAGACUAAAAUGCGUGUGUCUCACGGUGAAUGCGUGAGACUUGAGAGCCCUGCAACAUGAAUAGAGUUUAGCGGGCUGUGCGUUAGUAAUAACGGUCCGUGGGGAAACGCAGUGCUCCGUGUGUAUUGUAGUUAAAUGGAUUAAACAAAGAUGAUUUUUUGUAUUCGAAUUACUCGAGUUACUCGAGGAAUCAUUUCAGCCCUAGUCGAUACUCGGUAAUACACUGUAAACCCUAAUGUUGUAUGUACUUAAACAAUCAAGUGAUGUUGACUAAACAUUAAUUACAAUUUUCCAUUUUGGUCCUGACAUUUAAAAAUAUGAGUUGAUUUAACUUUAUGUACCUUCAAAAUGCUUAAACUUACAAUUUCAAGUCUUGUGAGCUCAAAAUCAUGAUUAAUCCUUUAAAAAUCCUUUUGGUUAUUUUUACUUAAAUGGUUCACUCCAUGCAAGCAGUUCUGUUCUGCCUAGCAACAAGAAAACUAAUGCACCGAUUGGUGGAUUACAAAGUUGGUCCUUUCGGCCUUGUCUGUUCUGUUGCUGAGCUGACACUCACAGUUCAAGACGGAAUAUGUGCUAUGUUCGGUAACAUGAGACAACGACAUGUGGAAAUUCAGCCCAACCAACCGAUGUCCGAACCCUUGUUCUUUGAGGACCGCCUAUCAUGCUCGGAGAUGAUGACUCUUCUUUCUUCAAGUCAUGUUAAGUGUCUGAUCAUCGCAACACUAUCCUUGAUGUACCAGAGCUGAUCUUAUUCGAGGACACUGAUCUUCAGUCCCCCAACUCCUUGCAUUUGACGACUUCUAUUCUUUGAAGACAAUGUUCAGUGACAAUGUGCCGUGUUUGCAUAAAGCUUAAAUGGUGAAAUGUAGUUUUUAUUAUGUGUAUUAUAAUAAUAUUUUCAUUUUACAUUAACAUAAUUGUGAGUGAAGUUACUUGAGUGAAGUAUACUGUAAAUGUGCAUAGAGUUGUACAAUUGAUGUACUGCAGUUAAUUUGGUUGUUACCACCUUUACAGUGUGGCGGUGACCCAUUCCCAUUAAAGUAUAGUGUUUUACUGUAUUUUAAUUAAUAUUGUGACAUUUUGUCAAUAAAAAUUCAAAGAUUAAAUAUGCUGUUCAUUGUUUUAUUUCAGUUCUAUGUGCACAAAGCUUCAAAAAUAAUAACAUCAUUAUGUUAACAAAUAAAUAAGUGAACAAAUAUUUAAGUACACUUGAAAUUAAUACCAAGUUAAGUGAACAAAAUAAUUUAAGUACAUUAAAUAAGCGCCAAGUUUGGUGAACUGAAAGAUUAAAGUAUAGUCUACAACACCGGCACGUUAAAUAAACUUAAAUAUGCAAGUUUCGGGAGACUCCAUUACUCAAUUAAAUUGAGGCAACGAGUUUACUCAAUCAAUUUAGUUCAGUCAACUUAUUAGGGUUUUCAGUGUACGACGUAAUUCAGUCGGUGCCCUUAAAAGUACAGAGUCCGGUACCCAACCCUACACCAGUUUCAGUUUUUUAUUGAUCGUUUCAUUUGUGCUUUGACUUCACACAACAUUACUUGAACUUUAACGCAGCGUUAAUAUAUUCAUUAAGAUAUACGCGAAAAUGCGCUUUCAUAUUGUACUCAUCGAGAUACUGGAGACAGAGAACUAUAUUUUACUCUAUGAUGUAGAGUACAUCAGCUUCAUUGUGUGUGGGACACAGAGCUCAGUUUUCCCUACAAUGUGGACAAACUCCAAAACGCUAAAUGUGGUUUAAUCCAUUAAGACCAAAUUCUGUAUACGCCUUAAUAAAGCGUAUUAUGUAAAGAAAUGUAGAAGAGCCUAGAACGUGAACAGAAAGCCCAUUUUUUUUUGAUCACAGGACAAAAGCUACAUUCAGACUGUCACUUCAAAUCCGAUUUUUGGGCAUAUAUUUAGGAAGAAGAGCACUGAUGGCGGAGAUGCGGAAAUCGAAGGAAAAAGUAGGCGAGUUAAUUAAUGGUCUAUAUUGUUUUGGUGUUUAGUUACUUCUUUAAAUUUUAUUUAUUAGUUUAAACAAUGUUUUUGAAUAUAUUUAUUUAUUGCUAUUUUUUGUGUUCUGACCUCGGAGUUUCGUUCGGUUUUAAAGCCGUCGGCUUGAUUAUUUCCACUGAUGUUUUCUUUCACUGAUGUGCUUCAAGUUUGCUGUAUUUUUAUUUAGUCGUUUAUUUACAAUUUAUUUUAUAUUCUACGUUUCAGAUAUUGCUACAGUUCAUUUCUGCAGUCUGGUCCAGAGAAAAAGGUUUCAUUAUUUGUCUGUAGGCAUGUCCGUAGGCACUUUUAAUUUUUUUGCACUAAAAUUUUGUUUGCCUAAAACUGAUGAAUUGAUUUAUUCCAUCUUUUUUCAAUUUCCACUAGUUUUAUUAUAUUGAGACAUAUAAUUAUAACUUGUGGCAGUGUCACAGCGGAUUGCAUUUUGCCUGCGCUUGAGCACUUCAUUUAUAUUUUAAAAGCUUAUUAUAAAGGUUUUGUAUAUCUCUGUAAUUUAGAACAAUGUCAGCAAUGUUACAUUAAACAUCUUUUUCAUACAUGAAGCUUAAACCAUCAUCUGAUGUCCCUAUUCCCCAUGUAUAUUGAAAUAUUUCAAUUAAUAUCAUAAAAAUGCAAAUAGUCGACUUAAUGAAAGAUUACUAAUCGACUAAACAAAAUCUCUAGUCAAGGGCAGCCCUGAUUUAAAGACCGUUUCCUUAAAGGGAUAGUUUACUCAAAAUAUAUUCAUUUCUGUUCAUUCAAAUAUAAUUUAUUCUAACAUCGUUUAUUUACCCUUAUGUUGUUGAAAACCUGUAUAUGACUCUUCUGUGAAACACAAAAGAAGAUAUUUUGAGAAAUGUUUCAAUGGUUUUGUGUCCAUACAAUGGAAGUCAGUGGGGUUCAGUGUUGUUUGGUUAACAUCGUUCUUUAAAAUUUCUUUUAAGUUCUGCACAAGUAAUACUCACAAAGGUUGACAUGAGAAUGAGUGAUUGAUUACAGGAUUUGAUGAGAAAAUCUUUCUCAUUCUCUAUUAAUAAUAUCAACAAUGAAUGUCCUGGUAACAUGUAAGAUGGAGCUAGUACAACAUAAAACUAUAGGAUGCAAAAUAUCCCCUGCUUAUUGUUAUCGGGAAAUCCCAGAAAAUAUCUAGAUAUAAUUUUUUUGCCAAUAUCGUACACCCCAUUCCAAACCAUAGAGCACGAUCCGUGAAUAAUGGUACUGUAUGACUUAGUUUGACAUCUUUUAGCACUGGGACCACGCCAUCUAUCAGUUUCAAACGAUCUCCAAAUCCAGCUUUAUAUACACCGUUUAUAUAACAUCCAUCACUGAAAUGCCGUGAACAAACACACACACCUAAACUUCACUAUCGAAAGAGUAACGAGCUGUAGCGCAGCCCAUCUUGACGCACCACAGAUAAUCUUGAUGGUAAGUGGGAUGGUAAGCCAAUAAAAGGAAUAGGAUCCCUUUUAUGACACAGGGAUCCACAAUUAUAAAAAAACUUUCCGAAACAAGUUGGAGAUCUGGGGGAUUGUAUAAAGUACAGAAAUACUAUCUCAUACGUCAAACUCGUUUUUUAACAAGUUGACCAUGUUAAGCAUGAGAAGCCAGCACGUUUAACAGUGUAAAUAAGUCAGAAUGCAUGACGUAGCAUGAUACCCGAUCUUUAAUAUGGCAGUCUUUUCCCGCGGUAUCAAAAAUCGUUAUUUUUAAGGUAUCGUAUUGAAGUUGGAAAUUCCAGUAUCGUGACAACACUAUUACAAAUGCUGCAAAAUCCUCCUCCAUGUUGGCUAUCAACAGGCUGCAAAACCCUGUCCUAAAUUCUUAUCCAGACACUUUUUAUGGAAUCAUUUCUUUUCAAAAUUGACUUUCCCGACUGUAACUUUUACAUCUCCAGAUCCAGGCCCCUUACCUUUCCAAACAGCUAGCGUUCUGACAUUUUUUCACCGGCCGGGGGAAAGCCAAAACGCUUCUGCGUGUUUAUCACAUCAUGAAUUGAGCUUAACACUAAAUAAACUAAAUUAAAUAUAAAUAAAAUUAAUUUGGAUAAAAUUGAAAACUGAAAUAAUUUUUUUUUGCCAAAACUAUAAAAAAUCUUAUGCCUGUAUAAAUAAAAUUGUAUGCUUUUUAAUAUGAUGGCGAAACAGUUUUUGCCAUUGCUUCUCUAUAAAGUGGAACUGGCAAGGAGAUUAGAAUCUAAUAAACU